rnacentral:rRNA from 1 species
AGCAGUAGCCACGGGAAUACAGAGGGUGCGAGCGUUAAUCGGAUUUACUGGGCGUAAAGCGUGCGUAGGCGGCUUCUUAAGUCGGAUGUGAAAUCCCUGAGCUUAACUUAGGAAUUGCAUUCGAUACUGGGAAGCUAGAGUAUGGGAGAGGAUGGUAGAAUUCCAGGUGUAGCGGUGAAAUGCGUAGAGAUCUGGAGGAAUACCGAUGGCGAAGGCAGCCAUCUGGCCUAAUACUGACGCUGAGGUACGAAAGCAUGGGGAGCAAACAGGAUUAGAGACCCCAGUAGUCCCUGUCUCUUAUAC